CCUACGGGUGGCAGCAGUGGGGAAUAUUGCACAAUGGGCGCAAGCCUGAUGCAGCCAUGCCGCGUGUGAAGAAGGCCUUUGGGUUGUAAAGCACUUUCAGCGGGGAGGAAGGCGUUAAGGUUAAUAACCUUGGCGAUUGACGUUACCCGCAGAAGAAGCACCGGCUAACUCCGGCCAGCAGCCGCGGUAAUACGGAGGGUGCAAGCGUGAAUCGGAAUUACUGGGCGUAAAGCGCACGCAGGCGGUCUGUCAAGUCGGAUGUGAAAUCCCCGGGCUCAACCUGGGAACUGCAUUCGAAACUGGCAGGCUAGAGUCUUGUAGAGGGGGGUAGAAUUCCAGGUGUAGCGGUGAAAUGCGUAGAGAUCUGGAGGAAUACCGGUGGCGAAGGCGGCCCCCUGGACAAAGACUGACGCUCAGGUGCGAAAGCGUGGGGAGCAAACAGGAUUAGAUACCCGGGUAGUC
rnacentral:rRNA from 1 species